AAUAAAUGCAGUAGUGUGUUUCUUUGUCCAACGAAGUUUAACCAUCUAUCUUAUUUAAUUUUUUUAUGAUUAAUACUUUUAUUUUUAUUAUAGAUAAAACAUACUUUAUGCGUGACUUUUUUUUAAAAAAAAUCAUAUUUUUUAUAUAAGACAGACGGUCUAAUGUUAGACACAAAAUCUCAUAAUUACACUUAAA
rnacentral:pre_miRNA from 1 species